rnacentral:rRNA from 1 species
AUACGGAGGUGCAAGCGUUACUCGGAAUCACUGGGCGUAAAGGACGCGUAGGCUGUUUAGCAAGUCAGAUGUGAAAUCCAAUGGCUCAACCAUUGAACUGCAUUUGAAACUGCUAGACUAGAGUAUGGGAGGGGGAGAUGGAAUUAGUGGUGUAGGGGUAAAAUCCGUAGAUAUCACUAGGAAUAUCUAAAGCGAAGGCGAUCUCCUGGAACAUUACUGACGCUAAGGCGUGAAAGCGU